rnacentral:rRNA from 1 species
GAUGAACGCUGGCGGCGUGCCUAAUACAUGCAAGUCGAGCGAACAGACCAUUCGCUUGCCUCUCUGACGUUACGGGCGGGCGAGUGGGUAAUACGUGGCUCACCUCCCUAUAAUAAUGGGAUAACUCCGGGACACCGAACCAAAUACCGGAUACUAUAUUGAACCGCAUGGUUCAAUAUUGAAAGACGUUUUUGCUGCCCCUUAUAGAUGGAUCCGCGCCGGAUUAGCUAGUUGGUAAGGUAACGGCUUACCAAGGCAACGAUGCGCAGCAGACGUGACAGGGUGAUAGGCGACACGGGAGCGGGGACACGGUCAAGACUACUACGGGAGGCAGCAGUAGGGAAUCUUCCGCAAUGGGCGAAAGCCUGACGGAGCAAGGCCGCGUGAGUGAUGAAGGUCUUCGGAUCGUAAAACUCUGUUAUGAGGGAAGAACAAAUGUGUAAGUAACUAUGCACGUCUUGACGGUACCUAAUCAGAAAGCCACGGCUAACUACGUG